GUUGAUACAUGUUUACUAAUUUAAUUGGUUGUUUUUCUAGUUGGUUGGAUUGUUUGCCUUGUCUUGUCUUUCUUCCACGCUAGUAGGGGUUUUCUGGAUUAUUGUGUAUUUUUCUUCCUUCUCUGUAUAACAUUCCUCUAAGUAUCUUCUACAGUGCUAGCUUGGUUGACACUGCCUUAGCUUCUGCUUAAACUAAAAUGUCCUUAUAGUUUGCCUGUCUUAAAGAAUAGCUUGCUCUACAGAACAGUCUCAGCUGCAGUUCAUGGACUCUCAGUAGUUGUGCCAUUCCAUCCUUCCCUGAAUUUUAGGUUGCUGACAAGAUGUCAGAUAUUAUUCUGAUGUCUUUGACUUUGUAGGUAAGUUAGCAUUUUCACGCUUAAUUUUGAAAUACUGUUUGUUUUCUUGGUAUUCUAGACAUCUGACUAUAAAAGUUGUGUAUUUCUUCAUUUCUGUUUCAGAUUCUAAGUAUCUCAACAUCUGAGGGCUUCUUUCUUUCUCUUGAUUUGAGAAAUUUCCGCUAUAAUUUUGUAGAUGAGAUUCUCUGCCUUUAUUUUUUUAAUUUAAUUUUAUUUUAUUUUUUGUUUUUCAAGACAGGGUUUCUCUGUGUAGUCCUGGCUGUCCUGGGACUCAUUCUGUAGACCAGGCUGGCCUUGAACUCAGAAAUCCGCCUGCCUCCUGAGUGCUGGGAUCAAAGGCGUGCACCACCAAUUCUGCCUUUAAUUUUUAAUCUCAGUUCCUCCCUCUAAAUUUGGUGUCUUACUAGUUGCCCAGGGUUGUUGGCUAUUGGAUUAUUGUGUGGGGUCUGUCUGUCCAUCAUUCUGUUUUGUCACCCUCCUCCAACCCCUGCCUCCCACAUACACACGCCACAUUGGUGUUUAAACAUAGUGUUUCUUCAGUCUUGUCCUUCAUUCCUUGUCUUCCUUCUACUUGGUUGAGUCUACUGGUAAUGUUUGGUUCAUUGGGUUUUUCACUUUUGACAUUUUUUUUUCUCUCGAUUUUUUUUUUCCUGAACUGUUUCCCACACACUCCCUUUCUCUCCUGUGCUACUCACCUUCUACUGUGUUUUGUUGAGGUUUUAUGUCGCCAGCUCUCUGGAGAUGGGACUUGAUUGUGUCUUCCUUGAAGUCAUGGCAAUUUAACUAGUGAACUUUUGAAAUUGUACUUAUUUCACUAUCUUUGAAUUCAGUCAUUGAGUUAGUUAAGAUGUUUUAGAGGAGUAAUAUUGCCUUGCUUUUUUCUACUUUUUGUGUUUCUAGGUUGUGAUUUAUGUAUGUUGUUUUAGACAUCUCUUCAAGUUUUAUUACAGAGUCUUGCUGUGCAGCCCACUCUUAGAAAUGAAUCCCCAGUGUCGUUCAGUAAGGAGAAAACUGACUUGUAAUAGCAACAGCAUCAGACUGUAUAAAACACAGAAAUACUCUCAAAACUCAGUUAAAGCCCACCAGUCUGUAACCUAUGUACUAAGAAUUAUUCAGGAUAAAUGUGGGGAUGAUUAAGAUAAGGAAAGGGGAAAAAGAAUUGAAGAAGAAUGUUGUGGGCAGGGAAGAUCAGAAAAGAUAAAAUGAGAAAUGAACAACAAAAAUCCCC
rnacentral:lncRNA from 1 species